rnacentral:rRNA from 1 species
UUGCUGACGAGCGGCGGACGGGUGAGUAAUGCCUGGGAAUAUGCCUUGAUGUGGGGGAUAACUAUUGGAAACGAUAGCUAAUACCGCAUAAUGUCUUCGGACCAAAGAGGGGGAUCUUCGGACCUCUCGCGUCAAGAUUAGCCCAGGUGAGAUUAGCUAGUUGGUGGGGUAAGAGCUCACCAAGGCGACGAUCUCUAGCUGGUCUGAGAGGAUGAUCAGCCACACUGGAACUGAGACACGGUCCAGACUCCUACGGGAGGCAGCAGUGGGGAAUAUUGCACAAUGGGCGAAAGCCUGAUGCAGCCAUGCCGCGUGUAUGAAGAAGGCCUUCGGGUUGUAAAGUACUUUCAGUCGUGAGGAAGGGUGUGUAGUUAAUAGCUGCACAUCUUGACGUUAGCGACAGAAGAAGCACCGGCUAACUCCGUGCCAGCAGCCGCGGUAAUACGGAGGGUGCGAGCGUUAAUCGGAAUUACUGGGCGUAAAGCGCAUGCAGGUGGUUCAUUAAGUCAGA